rfam:Bacillus subtilis subsp. subtilis str. NCIB 3610 prephenate dehydrogenase (tyrA), histidinol-phosphate aminotransferase (hisC), tryptophan synthase subunit alpha (trpA), tryptophan synthase subunit beta (trpB), N-5'-phosphoribosyl-anthranil
AGCUUAGAAAUACACAAGAGUGUGUAUAAAGCAAUUAGAAUGAGUUGAGUUAGAGAAUAGGGUAGCAGAGAAUGAGUUUAGUUGAGCUGAGACAUUAUGUUUAUUCUACCCAAAAGAAGUCUUUCUUUUGGGUUUAUUUG